rnacentral:rRNA from 1 species
AUGCACGACGACGAGACGGCCACCACCAAGACGAAGGCGAACAUACUGUACCUGCCGGACGAGCUAGUGUCGGAGAUCCUGCCCCGGCUCCCCGUGGAGUCGCUGCUGCGAUUCAGGUCCGUCUGCAAGGUCUGGCGCGGCAUCAUCGACAAGAACUCCUUCCUGCGCCAGCACCUCCGCCUCCAGACUUCGUCCCUGCUCGUCGCGCCGUGGAUCAGGGAGAACGACAACGAUCGCCCUCUCGCUUCUUCCACCGGAGAGUUGACCGCCGCCGGUUUGUACCUGUGGGAUGGGAAGCAGCAGAGCGUCGGCACGCUCCUACACGCCGUGUCCGACUACCGCUUCAAGAAGGCGGCGUUGCACAGGAUGGCCCAUUGCGAUGGACUGGUGUUGUUGCCUACUGACAAUACAGUGCACGUAGUUAACCCAGCCACUCGGCGCAGCAUCACGCUUCCCCCGACCCCUAACGCCGUCGGGCUCGUCAACCGCUUCCAAGGUCCUCACGCGUUCGGUCUUGGCCACGAUCCUCGUUCCAAUGCUUACAAGGUUGCUCACUUCUAUGGUUAUCUGGACAUGGACAUGCGCACCCCAGGUAGCUACUACUAUACUGCCAAGAUGGGGGUGUUCACCAUAGGAACAGACAGUUGUUGGCGUGACACUGCGGCGGCACCGCCGCAUCAUCAUGUGAUCCCACAGCGAACGGCGACCUUCUCCAAGGGCUCCUUGUUCUGGACCGUCGAGGAGGGGGUUCUCCACGACACACCAGUCGCUCCAGGCUUUGUCCGUUACAGGUUAGAGGAUGAGUCGUUCAGCAUCGUAUCGGCGCCUCCUUGCACCCCAAGGUUGAACUACGAGGCGUCCAGUUUAACCGACCUCCACGGGGAGCUGUGUGUAUGCGUGCCUCGGUCAGGGUUCGAUGUUCUCGAGAUGUGGAUGUCGGGAGAUCUAGAUUAUGGUUCCGACCCGCCACAUUGGGAUCUGUGUCGUGUCAUCAACGGGCCCUUUCCAUUUGGAUCUUAUAUGCCAGUGAUCGCGACGGCUGAUGCCGUAGUGUUCCAAUUUGCAAAAUACUAUCUCUACAAAUCGGAUCUCCAAAGUCCAAAAUUUAAUUGGAACAAGUUGAUUGAAAUGAAGCGCUUGAGGUAUCAUCACCUAGACACCGAUACAUUUGUCAAAUACGCACGAAAAAUUAUUGCUGACCUUUAUGUAAUCCCCUACGUUCCAAGCCUAGUUCCGAUCUAG